UCCGACCCAACUUUGUAUCGCAACCUUGCAGGAGCAUUGCAGUACAUCUCGAUUACUCGACCAGAUGUAUCCUUCUCUGUUAACAAGCUUUGCCAAUUUAUGCAAUCUCUUAUCCUUGCUCAUUUUCAAGCUUUGAAACGAGUGUUAUGUUAUUUAAAGGGUACAGUUUCCUAUGGGCUACAUCUCCAGCGCUCCUCUAAGCUAACUAUUUAUGUUUUUUCUUAUGCGGAUUAAGCUGAUUGUCUAGAUGAUAGGAGGUCUAUACAUGGAUAUUGCAUCUUUCUUGGUCCUAAUUUGUUUUUUUGGUGCUCAAAGAAGUAAAAGGUUGUUGCUCGUUCUAACACCGAAUCUGAGUAUAGAGGCUUAGUUGUUGCCACUGCUGAAAUUACUUGGAUUCAGCACCUUCUCCAGGAAUUGUUUAUACUCUUGCCUACCGCUUCAAAGCUUUGGUGUGAUAAUUUAUCCGCUAUAUAUCUCACUGCUAAUCCCGUGUUUCAUGCUCGCACGAAGCAUGUUGAGCUGGACUUUCACUUUGUUAGAGAGAAGGUUGCUUCGAAGGAUCUUGAAGUUGGUUACAUCAGUUCCUUAGAUCAAAUAGUUGAUACUUUGACAAAGAGUUUAUCAGCUUGCCGCUUUAUAUUUCUUCGAGACAAGCUUGUUGUGAUUGAUCCCAAGCUGCACUUGAAGGGGUAUGUUAGGAUAGCUACGCCUAAGGGAUAAAAAUAUUUACCUUAACUAAAAAUCCUUAUCCUAAGGGAUAGACAUAGUAGAUGAUAUCCCAUGUAAAGUCUCUCUCCCUUUAGGAUUAUUGUAUUGAGUAGUAUUUAAACAUCACUGUAUUAUACACAUAGAUGAAGAAAUAAAUAGCUAAUUCCUAUAAUACUUUCAAUACCCAGUAUAUUCCCAACAUGUGAGAUUAAAUAUUUGCACAAAACUAAAACAAAUGCAUUUGGAUAAGAGGUUCCCGAUAAGUUUUAAUUUUUUAAAAACAUUUCUGAAAACAAAUGUAAAAUAUUUUUGAAAAACUUUAACCAAAUAAGUUGUUCGAGAAUUUGUCUAAGAGCUUUUUACAUGCACCCAAAUUCGGUACAAAAAUAUCCAUAAUAAACGGAGGGGAAUCAAAAUCAAGGCAAAAUAUCUCUAAAAUUUCCAUUUCACGUCCGCUUAGACCACUUCUAGCUAGGUUGAUUCGUCAAACCACACACGCCCCUUUAUCUGUCCUCUAGCCUCUUUUAAAAACAUUUUAAGCUUUAUCCAUCUAUAUCUACAAAUUCACUAAUCCAACUAAUUCUAAAUUUUGCAUUUAGGGCCCACUUAGAAACCAUUAUUAGUAAUUUCUCCUUUAUCAAAGUUCAAAUUCGAAUUUCAUAUAUCCCACUACACGUUUUAUAUGGUGUUCCCUUUUUCAAACAAAAAUAUAGUAAUUCCACGUAACUCGCUUUAACCCAUCUGUCCCCUUGGAUAUAUACUUCCCUAGGCUAAACGUAUUAAGCAUUGUCACACAAACAAUAGAAAGCCUAACUGAUGGAUCAGCUAAAGCCAAGACCACCAAAUUCAAGUCCUCUUACUCCUCUUACCUUCUUAGAAAGAGCUGCCACCAUCUAUG
rnacentral:lncRNA from 1 species